UAUUUUAUUAAUUAUGCUAUUAUAGUGAUUUUAGAUUGGGUUUUUCAUGUAACAGUAAAAGUCCGUUGUUUUCUUGUUCGUCAUUCAUCUGCUGACCAUAUGCAUAGUAUUAUAUUUUAGUUACUAUAUCUGUAUUACAAUCGUUACUGUUGCUUUUUGUUUUUUAAAAUACCUAUUCUGCCAAGCGCCAGCACUAAUAAGACUGUUUUCAGUGACUAUAAGCAGCAGCCAUCAAUGUGUUACAUGUGAUUGAAGUGUUGAAUGUAGACGACGAUCCAUCAAAAAUAAAUUUGACCAUUUGACCAUUGUGGCUUACAGGGGUAUAAAAGUGAACCAUUUUAUAAUUUAUAUACCUAUUGUCAAAAAGUAAGACCAUGGUGCUUUAAGACCACCAAUCAACAUUUACUGAAACAUCACAACUACUGUAUAAUAGAUUAUAUCAUCAAAUGUCUAGAAGAAAGAACCAACUUGUACCUACCUAUUAAAAAAUGAAAAUAUAAAUGCUGUACUACAAACAAAUUGCAAGCUCCAGUAAAUGAUCUAAACAAAAAAGUUUAAAUAACGACUGGAACAAAAGUUAUGUCAUUUGUCAAGUCUUCCUGUUACAUUCUGUAUAAUAUAUUAUAUUUAUGCUUGUCACAUUUUUUUAUAGAUUGAUAAAGAUUGUUGUGUAUUCAAAUUCAAUUAAAAAAAGGGUAAAUUAGAAGCUGUUGAACCUGAGUCAUUUUACAAAUACUGUGAGGAACUACCAUCCUUGUGCAUAUUUACAAUCUGGCCCGGAGGAAUGAUGUGAGAUUUCUGGGCGUCUGAGCUGAUAUUCAUGUUUAUGAACUAAUUGGCUAUACAAAAAAAAUCUGGCCUGAAAUAUUGUCUCAGCCCGCCCUUGAUGGUGCACAUUUUAAGUGCAAUAUGAAGCAAUAUUAUAAAUUCACCAAUGAGUGGAUGAAUACUUUAAAGCCAAUGAUGAAUAAGAUUAAAGCUAUGAGAAAAGCUUUAUAAGAAUAUUUAAAUUAAGACGUAGAAAUUUAGAAUCAUAUAAUUAGUUACUCUUUAUGUUUUCUGAUACAAGAUUAUAGAGUAAAUUUUUAAGAAGAUACUUCAUUUUUACAGCAAGUCAUGUAUUUAAGAAUGAAAAGCUAUCAUAUAUGUUGCUGUUGGGACGUUUUAAUAUUUGUGAGCUUAAUACUUAAAA